UGGGGAAUAUUGGACAAUGGGCGAAAGCCUGAUCCAGCCAUGCCGCGUGUGUGAAGAAGGUCUUCGGAUUGUAAAGCACUUUAAGUUGGGAGGAAGGGCAUUGACCUAAUACGUUAGUGUUUUGACGUUACCGACAGAAUAAGCACCGGCUAACUCUGUGCCAGCAGCCGCGGUAAUACAGAGGGUGCAAGCGUUAAUCGGAAUUACUGGGUGUAAAGCGCGCGUAGGUGGUUUGUUAAGUUGGAUGUGAAAUCCCCGGGCUCAACCUGGGAACUGCAUUCAAAACUGACUGACUAGAGUAUGGUAGAGGGUGGUGGAAUUUCCUGUGUAGCGGUGAAAUGCGUAGAUAUAGGAAGGAACACCAGUGGCGAAGGCGACCACCUGGACUAAUACUGACACUGAGGUGCGAAAGCGUGGGGAGCAAACA
rnacentral:rRNA from 1 species